AAUUUUACAUUUGUUUUCACGAUUUUCACGUAUUGUUAUUGUUACACGUUGACGACAUUCGUUUCAUUCCAUUUCAGUUUCGAGUUAUACAUAUGUGACCAUAGGUCAGAUAAGAUGAUUGGUCGACACCAUCUGGCAUGAAUCUGAGAGGAAUCGCAGUAGAUAGCAUCUUCCUACUGUCAACAAGUGAUAUAUAAUGUCAGGAACAUUGACAUUAUCUAAUAGGUUGACACGGAGGCCAGAUAGCGCUUCGUAUAAAAGAGUUCCUGGGCUAGCACAUGGGCAUUAUCUAGAACGGUAAACUACAAUAUCAUAACGCCAUGAUGACACUGACUGUUCUUGUCCUCGUGGCUUUGCUGGCUGGGGCAUCUGCUCAGAUGGGGUGCGCUCCACCAGGAAGCUCAUGUAUAUCUAGAAUAAUGAACGGCGGUUACCCCGGAGGCAGUUACCCUGGUUACCCCGGGGGUGGAUACCCUGGGGGAAACAAUGGCAGACACUGUUGUGGCGCGAUGGUUUGCCGA